UAUCUCUGUAGAGUCUGCAUAUCAAUAAGCGGAGGAAAAGAAACUAACAAGGAUUCCCUUAGUAACGGCGAGUGAAGCGGGAAGAGCUCAAAUUUGAAAUCUUCAAGGAUUUACCUUGACGAAUUGUAGUUUAAAGAAGUGUUUUCUGUUGAAGUUUUGGUAAAAGUUCUUUGGAAUAGGACAUCAUAGAGGGUGAGGAUCCCGUAUUUGACCAUUAUUUUCAGCUGUGUGAUACACUUUCAAAGAGUCGGAUUGUUUGGGAAUGCAGUCCAAAAUGGGUGGUAAAUUUCAUCUAAAGCUAAAUAUUGGCGAGAGACCGAUAGCGAACAAGUACCGUGAGGGAAAGAUGAAAAGAACUUUGAAAAGAGAGUUAAACAGUACGUGAAAUUGUCAAAAGGGAAGCGUUUGACACCAGUGUUGUUUUCUCGAAAAUCAAUUAAAAAAAGUUGGAUUUUGUGUUGUAUUGACCUUAACAGCUUUCUGCACUCUUUUCCUGCUUUUUUUAAUGCACUUUUCGUUUAACAAGUCAACAUCAGUUUCUUUUGUUGUAAAAGGGUCAUUGGAAGGUGGCUUUCUUUUCGGAGAAAGUGUUUAUCAGCCUUUGAUCUCUGCAAUCGGAGAGACUGAGGUCUGCAGCGUAGAUCCUUCGGGGUUAGAUAGCAGUUAGAUGCUAAGUUAUAGCUUUUUCAUAGACAACUUGUUGACUAUAAUUUAAAUCAUGUAGCUUACUCAGCUUAUGGCUAUUUUACCUACGCUUAGGAUGUUGAUCUGUAGUGCGUGCGC
rnacentral:rRNA from 1 species